rnacentral:rRNA from 1 species
UACGUAGGGCGCAAGCGUUGUCCGGAAUUAUUGGGCGUAAAGAGCUCGUAGGCGGUUUGUCGCGUCUGUCGUGAAAGCUUGGGGCUUAACCCCAAGUCUGCGGUGGAUACGGGCAGACUAGAGGCAGGUAGGGGAGAACGGAAUUCCCGGUGUAGCGGUGAAAUGCGCAGAUAUCAGAAGGAACACCGGUGGCGAAGGCGGGUCUCUGGGCAGUAACUGACGCUGAGGAGCGAAAGCGUGGGGAGCGAACAGG